rnacentral:RNase_P_RNA from 1 species
GGAGUAUAUCAAACAGUCGCGUAUGAAACUCGCAAGGGCUCAUAUGAGGAAAGUCCGGGCUCCAUAGAGCAAUGAUGCUGGAUAACGUCCAGUGAGGGAGACCUUAAGGAAAGUGCAACAGAAAAUAACCGCCUCAUACGAGGUAAGGGUGAAAAGGUGAGGUAAGAGCUUACCGCUAGUAUGGUGACAUACUAGGUCAAUGUAAACCCCAUCUGGAGCAACACCUAAAUAUAAGAAGGCUAAGGCUGCUCGCCAUCUUCUUAAACUGGUGGCUAGAGGCAUAUAGUAAUAUAUGUUCGAGAUAAAUGACUGUUUUUAACAGAACCCGGCUUAUAGGUAUACUUCGUUA